CACUCAGUCGCCUUUAGCGCCGUGCAUCCUCGAGCCAGUCAGUCAGUCACUCAGUCAGUCAGUCAGUCAGUCAUUGAGUCAGUCAGUCGGGCGAGACUACGCGCGCGAAGGAGUACCGUCUCUCGUUCCAAUAGCGAUCGAGAGUCGAUCGAGUGAGGCGCGAAACGACCAAAGAACAGUGCAGUGAACGAAGCGAGAUCGAUACGG